GACGAACGCUGGCGGCGUGCUUAACACAUGCAAGUCGAACGGUGAAGCGCCUUCCUUUUUGGUGGGUGUGGAUGAGUGGCGAACGGGUGAGUAACACGUGAGUAACCUGCCCCCUUCUUCUGGAUAACCGCAUGAAAGUGUGGCUAAUACGGGAUAUUCUGGGUCUGUCGCAUGAUGGGUCUGGGAAAGAUAUUGUUUCGGUGGGGGAUGGGCUCGCGGCCUAUCAGCUUGUUGGUGGGGUGAUGGCCUACCAAGGCGGUGACGGGUAGCCGGCCUGAGAGGGUGGACGGUCACACUGGGACUGAGACACGGCCCAGACUCCUACGGGGGGCAGCAGUGGGGAAUAUUGCACAAUGGGCGCAAGCCUGAUGCAGCGACGCCGCGGGAGGGAUGGAGGCCUUCGGGUUGUGAACCUCUUUCGCCAGUGAGGCAGGCCUGCCUCGUUUGUGGGUGGGUUGACGGUAGCUGGAUAAGAAGCGCCGGCUAACUACGUG
rnacentral:rRNA from 1 species